UUUCCUCGCCUGAGGGAGAUGGGAAAGACGGAGCAAUCUGUCACUUGCAGAUGGACCUGCGGCGCAUUAGCUAGUUGGUGGGGUAACGGCUCACCAAGGCGACGAUGCGUAGCCGACCUGAGAGGGUGAUCGGCCACACUGGGACUGAGACACGGCCCAGACUCCUACGGGAGGCAGCAGUAGGGAAUCUUCCGCAAUGGACGAAAGUCUGACGGAGCAACGCCGCGUGAGUGAUGAAGGUUUUCGGAUCGUAAAGCUCUGUUGCCAGGGAAGAACGCUCGGGAGAGUAACUGCUCUCGGGGUGACGGUACCUGAGAAGAAAGCCCCGGCUAACUACGUGCCAGCAGCCGCGGUAAUACGUAGGGGGCAAGCGUUGUCCGGAAUUAUUGGGCGUAAAGCGCGCGCAGGCGGUGAUGUAAGUUGGGUGUUUAAACCUAGGGCUCAACCUUGGGUCGCAUCCAAAACUGCAUGACUUGAGUACAGAAGAGGAAAGUGGAAUUCCACGUGUAGCGGUGAAAUGCGUAGAUAUGUGGAGGAACACCAGUGGCGAAGGCGACUUUCUGGGCUGUAACUGACGCUG
rnacentral:rRNA from 1 species